rnacentral:rRNA from 1 species
CACGUAGGGCGCGAGCGUUGUCCGGAAUUAUUGGGCGUAAAGAGCUCGUAGGCGGCCUGUUGCGUCCGCUGUGAAAGCCCGGGGCUUAACCCCGGGUCGGCAGUGGAUACGGGCAGGCUAGAGGUAGGUAGGGGAGAAUGGAAUUCCCGGUGGUAGCGGUGAAAUGCGCAGAUAUCGGGAGGAACACCGGUGGCGAAGGCGGUUCUCUGGGCCUUACCUGACGCUGAGGAGCGAAAGCCAGGGGAGCAAACGGGG